UGCAUGUGUCAGUACAAACUAAAUUAGAGUGAAACCGCGAAUGGCUCAUUAAAUCAGCUAUGAUUCAUUGGAUCUGUACACCCAGUUUUCCUUGGAUAACUGUGGUAAUUCUAGAGCUAAUACAUGCACAUAUAGUCCCUAUACCUCUUCUCUUCUCUUGUCUAAUGAUGAGAGAGAGAGAGGGAAGGGCGCUUUUAUUAGUAUCAAAACCGGUCGGGCUUCGGUCUGUUAACCUAUUUGAUGACUCUGGAUAACUUUUAGCUGAGCGCACGGUCUUUUGCACCGGCGCCGCUUCUUUCAAGUGUCUGCCUUAUCAGCUUUCGAUUGUAUGUUAUGUGCCUACAAUGGCUAUAACGGGUAACGGGGAAUCAGGGUUCGAUUCCGGAGAGGGAGCCUGAGAAACGGCUACCACAUCUAAGGAAGGCAGCAGGCACGCAAAUUACCCACUCCCGGUACGGGGAGGUAGUGACGAAAAAUAACGAUGCGAGACUCAUCCGAGGCUUCGCAAUCGGAAUGAGUACACUUUAAAUCCUUUAACGAGGAUCAAUUGGAGGGCAAGUCUGGUGCCAGCAGCCGCGGUAAUUCCAGCUCCAAUGGCGUAUAUUAAAGUUGUUGCGGUUAAAAAGCUCGUAGUUGGAUUUCAGUAUUGGACUGAUGAGUUUUUUCACCUUCUGGUGAUUAAACAGAAUCAAGCUUCAAAACCUGCUAUCACAAUAAUUACAUUGUGUAUUGCUCAACUAGCACACACGGGGUGCUCUUAAUCGAGUGUCCCGAGUGGCUGGUAUGUUUACUUUGAAAAAAUUAGAGUGCUCAGAGCAGGCUACAAAUGGCCUGAAUGUCUAUGCAUGGAAUAAUAUAAGAGGACCUCGGUUUUAUGUUUUACCGCGUUUCUUUUGGAAACCGAAGGUAUGAUAUAGACAGUGAGGUAUUAGUACUGCGACGCUGAGUGAAUCUGACAGAUGCAUUCAUUAAUCAAGAACGAAAGUUAGAGGUUCGAAGGCGAUCAGAUACCGCCCUAGUUCUAACCAUAAACGAUGCUAACCAGCGAUCCGCCGUAGUUAUUCCCAUGACUCGGCGGGCAGCUUCUGGGAAACCAAAGUCUUUGAGUUCCGGGGGAAGUAUGGUUGCAAAUCUGAAACUUAAAGGAAUUGACGGAAGGGCACCACCAGGAGUGGAGCCUGCGGCUUAAUUUGACUCAACACGGGAAACCUCACCAGGCCCAGACACUGGAAGGAUUGACAGAUUGAGAGCUCUUUCUCGAUUCAGUGGGUGGUGGUGCAUGGCCGUUCUUAGUUGGUGGAGCGAUUUGUCUGGUUAAUUCCGAUAACGAACGAGACUCUGGCCUAUUAACUAGUCGACGGAUUUCCAAACCAUGCAAUUGGUGUCCAGUUCGCAACAUUAUCUUCUUAGAGGGAUAAGCGGUAGUCCUAGCCGCACGAGAAUGAGCAAUAACAGGUCUGUGAUGCCCUUAGAUGUUCUGGGCCGCACGCGCGCUACACUGAAGGGAUCAGAAUGUUUUCCCCCUCCGAAAGGAGCGGGUAACCCGAUGAAACCCCUUCGUGAUAGGGAUUGGGGCUUGUAAUUAUUUCCCAUGAACGAGGAAUUCCCAGUAAGCGCAGAUCAAGAGUUUGCGUUGAUUACGUCCCUGCCCUUUGUACACACCGCCCGUCGCUACUACCGAUUGAAUGAUUUAGUGAGGCCUUCGGACUGUCGCUCUUGGAUAUCUUGGCUUAAUGCUAGUUCCUAGAGCUGACGGAAAGAUGUCCAAACUUGAUCAUUUAGAGGAAGUAAAAGUCGUAACAAGGUUUCC
rnacentral:rRNA from 1 species